rnacentral:ncRNA from 2 species
AGGGAAGGUGGUGUAUCCCCGAAGAGUCGGGGAGAGUCCACUGCUGCCCCGCAACUGUGAGCGGCGAUGAAAUCCGCAGCAGCCACUGUCCCGCGGAGCGGGAUGGGAAGGCGCGGAGAGUAAGAAGACCCGCAAGCCAGGAGACCU